rnacentral:lncRNA from 1 species
GUGAAUCUUUUUUGGGUGCAUUUAAACAGAAAGGAUGCAAAUAUGGUGGAAUGAAUACAUGGUAAAAAGAUAACAAACACUUUGCAAAAAAGAGUUUUGGACCUUAAGGGGUUAAACGCUGAUAUCAGAAUUUUUUUUAUGUUUUAUUUAUUGAUUUAUUUUUAUUAGUAUAUAAUUGCACAGAAGUGUUUAGUAAACUGUAGCCCUUUUUUAGCAGCAAAAUUGUUGUCAAUUGUUAAUUGUUAAAGUUUACACAAAAAGUAUUCUGAUCUACUGAAUCUUUAUUUGUAUGCGUUCCCACGAGGAUAAAUUGUGAGUUUUGGUCCAACCCUACAAAUAAGCAACAAUUUAUUAAUGUCUCUUCACCACACAUCGUGAAGAGGAUCACUUCCUCAUUGUUACAGAUUUAUUUCUCGUGCAAGGCAGCAUCCUGUUGGGGUUUUUGCUAGUGUAAUGUUCAGAACGGAUAUUCAUGUGCAUUUAUAAAUGGGUCAGACUUGCCAGAUAACAUUAUGUUGCACAGAAGACAAAACAUCCUCUCUGUAAAGAUAUGAAAUAGUCUCUAAUCUUUUAUAUAUGUCAGUAAUGCUUCUGGCUAAUUCUCAAUAGCUUAAACAGGUAGGUGGGUGAUGUGCAGGUGUGUGACCUUUUAAUGUGAAGAUCAAAUGUGUGUUAGCAGAUGUUUCUAGAAGCUGCUUCUCUUUUCGUGGUAGGAAUCAUCAAGUUGUCUGGUAAAUGUAUUAGAGAGCUGCCCACAUUAAUAAUUUCUUCAUUUAUUUAUUUUACAUCAGAGCAUUUGGGACAUUUAUUUUACUCCUUUACUGUGAGUUCGUUCCAAAAGAAAGAUGCAACAUUGAAAGUAAAUGUGCAAUUAGUCACACAUGACAAGUUAAUUCUUGUACCGAAAGGUUCUGAAUCAAAUUCUGAUUGAAUAACUAUGAAAGUGAAAUUCUAUGCCAAAAAAAAAACCCUCACCAAGAAGAUUUAAUUUCAUGAUUUUAUUAAAGUAAAGUUAAAACAUUUACUAAUUCUGAUAUUUAUUAGAUCACCUUUAAAGCACAGUUUGGAUUGUUUGCUGUAUGACAACUGAGAAAUUGGAGUAUAAAAAGAGAGAGUUCCCUUAGCUGGAUAUUGGCAUCUAAACCAUAUUUGGGCAGAGCCUGGCAGUGACGUGACACUAUCCAGGUACCAACAGAGUUUGGACUCUUUCCAUGGCACCCUUCAUUCCCACGCCAGAGCUUCUCCACCAAGCUAUAGUAAUGUGCUGUCAUCCACCUGUCUCUUGGUCACACAGUACUGGCUGACCUCUUUCACUUAAAAAAAAAUUAAAAAAAAAUGUAGUGACCCAGUCAUUGCAGCAGAUUACUGAAGGUCACCUGCUUGUCUAUUCUUCAGUGACACAAAGUAACUUCACACUCUGUCUCUUCCCUUUCACUGUUUAGAUACAAAUGUAACAUGGUGACUGGCAAAAUAGAAGCCACGCAGGACAGUUUGGUUUUGUGUGCUCUGCUUGCCAGUGGCAGAUUGGUGUGUAAAAAUUAGUGGUACUGUGUUCAGAUAUAUAAAUGGUUAUAAACAUGUAUUAUUAUUAUUUAUUUUUUUUUCUAACUCUAAAAAGGUCUGUGAUAAUAAAAUUAUAUAAAAUAACAUUUAGGCUAAUAAACAACAACAACAAAAAAACCUUAAGCUCUAGAGAGACAUAAAAUAAUGGUGCUCCUUGAUUAAUGAUGAACUUAGUCCAGAUGUAUUAAAGAGAGGCAUGUUUGCAACUUGUGUUCAUUGUAUAUAAAUGAGCACAUAUAAAAACAAGUUCAAAGUGAUAUGUAAAAGUUGGUUAACUUGACUAUUUUUUCCCAGCUUUUGCUUUAGGAAGUCUGCUUUUUAUAACCGGAGGUACAACUUUUAAGUGUUCUUAUAUGUGUAUCUUCUCUUAUUUUGCUGUAACUUGAAUUCUAGAUCUAUUCUUAUUGAUUACUUAAAAAAAAAAGUCAGAAUACAUAUUUAAUCUCAAUCCAGUCUCCUAUACCCAUUACCUGCUUUUUUUUUUUUUUUUUUCCUACAACACAGAUUUCUUGUAACUGUAAAAGAGGUAUGUCACAGUAAUAUUACACUCACAUUUAAAACUUAUAUCUGUGUUUGGUUUUUUUCUUGUUUUUUUUUAUUUUUAUUUUUUUUACGUAAAAAAGAUAUUGAGGUAUCACUAACCCUUUUAUCUCAUUGAUACAUAUACCAUGUGAGGUAUUAUUGACCUGCAAAUCGUAUUGAUACAUACAGUGAAAAUAAAUUGGCAUCUAGCCCCAUUGAGGUCAGAUUUUUUUUAAAGACUAUUAUCUAUGACAUCUCUAAAAUAGUUUGACAACUGGUAAGUUAUAGGAAACAUAACACAAAAAUAGAGAUAUCACUCUUCCCAAAUGUGAAAAACAAAUGUGUAGCAACACAUUCAUUAGUUGUAGUAAACUAGAACAAUCUGAGUAAAACUGCAUCAAAGAGAUAAAAUAUGCAAACACCACCACCUAUUCAGAAUCUGCCCAGCAGUCCUGGGUCAGUCAUUUCUAAAUGAUCUAUUGUCCUUAGUGUGGUGCACUUGGAACUCAAGACCUGCAGAAUGUUUUGAGGUGUUGAUCUAGUUGUGUAAGUGAAGAAGAGAUUGGUCAGGUUCAGCGAUAAGAACAUGGCACUUUGCUAUAUUACAGUACGACAGGAUAUCAAUACAAUACAGUACAUAAUAUAUUGUUACAGUUUGUCAAUAAAGUCAGAAGAUGGAAGUUUGUUUUCUGCAUUCAGAAUUGUAAUUUGUCACCAUGAGAAUUCUGCUCCACUGAAUCAUGUGACAAAUCUCUCUACUAGAGACCUAGUUUCUAGAUGGUUAAAAUUGUAUUUACAGCUUUAGGCACAGAACAUACAGGAUCUUACCAUGGUACAAUAAAAUCUGCUGUUCUUGUGUGAUUGUAUUUGUUGUUAUACAUUGUAAGCAACAAUUCUGAGGAUUUUGACAUUUGCUUGCUAAAGGGGAACUUGCUGAAAGCAAUAUAAAGAUAAUGCAUUCAAUAUAAUGUCAAAAAGGCACAUACCUUAAAACUUUCCCCUGGUUCACUGAAUAAUGGUUCUGUCUGUAGGCAGUCCAUUUCCACACCAGGAAGAAAAUCUAUCUCAUGAACUCCUGCACAUCAGGCUUUAUGGUAUGUCAGGGGUUCCCAAAAGGUAGAUGUUGUAAAACCACGACUCCCAUGAUGCUUUGCAUGCAUUCGGAAUGCCAUUACAAUGGCAAACAUCCUAGAAGUUGUCAUUAUUAAAACAUCUGGGAAUCUACCUUUUGAUCAUCCCUGGUAUAGGUAGUUUUGUGUAGGAUUAGAUAUUAUUGCUCUGCCCUGUCAACUGAUAGCAGUCCUACCACAGAAAAAAUGGGGAACUGGGUUAUAUGCAGCUUUUGGCAUAGCCAUUGUCUGCAGCUUGGUUCUCUCUCCUGAGAUAAGAGAGAGUGCUUGGCCCAAGUUGUGACCAAGCUGACACUCCCUGCAACACUUGGAUGGCAUAGCUAGCCUGGAAGCAAAUUUAUUUGUUGGCUGAUUGGUGGGAGCUGAGCUGUGCCCAGGAAACAAAAGACAAAUGUGUCAAAAAUUUGCAUUUCAGUGCUGCAUUUGCCAUGCGCCAUAACCACUUCUGGUUACUCAAGGUCUUAUGGUAUUUAGAUUAACCUUUUUUUGUCUGAAGAGAAUUAUUGCAGCUCUCUUUAACAUAGCCAUAUUUAGAAAAAAUAUCAAAAUAUAGAUCAAAUACUGGAUAUAGUUUGAGAAUUAAAUUCUCAGAUUUAGAGCAAAAUAGUAUGUUGGAGGGUACUACUCUACUGGAAUAAAAGGGCUUCCACUAAAAAGCCCAGAGUGCAAGAUAAAAAGUAGGUAUUUGAUAUGUUCCAAUCAGUAUCCAGGAGUAGUUAUGGUAGGCGUGAUGUACCUUUAAAUUUAGGAACAACAUAUUUAAAGGUACAUCACACCCACCAUAACUACUCUUGGAUACUCAUUAGAACAUAUUUAAUAGUUCACAUACUAUCUCUCAGCAAGUUCUAAUACCCAGCAUUGGCAUGUUAUUUGUUUGGUCUAAUAAUAUGAAAAUAGUUAUCAUUUUCACUUAAGAACCAUUAGGAGCAAAUGAUUUUGUUUGGUAUUUAUGCUAGUUAAUAGUUGUUGCUUUUACUGAUAUCGGUUACUGCUUUAUUGGGAGUAGAAGUAGGUAAGUUAAAUGCAGUCGAUUGUAGGGCAUUUAAAGCUACUUGAUCUUUAAUCAGAAAUUUGAUGGUUUUUUUUGUCUAUAUCAAUAUAUUUACGAAAGAGCAGAUUUCUGAGGUUAUGUUGUAUUAUGGCCUUUUGUUUCCCAAUCAUGAGUUCUAGACAGAUGCUGUAAUUAGACUGCAUAAAGAGCUUUCCAGGAGAACUUUCCAGAAAUGUGGCAGGACAUUUGUAGAAUCAUGAGAUAAAGCCUCUGUGGGUUAUAAUCUCUUUAGGAGUGGCUGAAAGAUGCAAUUUUUGCCAAUUAGUUUAUUGUAGUAACGGGAUAUCUCUUCUGGUAAUAAGCUUCAAAAUUGCCAACUCUAUUAGGCACUGGAUGGCUUGGUCCUAUUCUGAAAAUGAAUCUUCAGUGUGGCCAGAUCCUUGUAGCACUACCUGUUUGGAUUCAGAGGUUAGUAUUUUGACCGUCCAGAAUUUUCCUUAAUAUCCAAUGUGCAACUAAAUUAAUCUAUUCACUUCAAUUACCACCCAUGUAUCCUGUAUUUUAUUAUGCCUGGCAAAGUUAACCACCCACUCUUUGAAGCAAUUUUAUCAAAUUAUCCUCGGCCCAAAUAUUUCUGAAUGUUUAGGGGAUUGCUUGUUUGCAAACUGUUACUGUAGCAAUUUGUUUUUGUUUUUUUAAUUCAGCAGAACAAUUGCUGUUUCUGUGAAUUUUUAACAGCUCACUGCUAUGCACCUGAAUACUAUUUCAUGGUUAGAAAUGUAUUGCAUACUUAGUAAGGCACUCUUUUAGACUGUCACCUUCCAGGCUCCAUGUAAAAGCUUUUGAGAGAAUUUCGUUGUAAGCAUUAUGCUAUCGUCAGUGAAGAGCAAUAUGUGUACGUAUUUCCACAGUGUAAGCAGACACCAUAAUU